rnacentral:lncRNA from 1 species
UAGGACCCUCUGAGCCAGGUGCAGGAUAUAAUCUCGUGGUGUGCCGUUUUUUAAGCCCGUCGGAAAAGCGCAGUAUUCGGGUGGGAGUGACCCGAUUGUCCAGAGUAUCUGACUGUCUUCUCUCAGAUGAUUGCAUUUCAUGAUCCAGAGCUGAGUAAUCAUCUCAAUGAGAUUGGUUUCAUUCCAGAUAUGUAUUUCCACUACACAAAAUUUUCCACCUCUGGGAUACCUUACUACUUGGGAAUUCCUCUUUCCCAUUCUGUAUUGGAGUAGCAAUUCUUCAGCAGCUGCGGGACCGGCUUUUGGCUAAUGGCUUUAAUGAGUGUAUUCUUCUCUUCUCCGAUUUACCAGAAAUUGACAUUGAACGCUGUGUGAGAGAAUCUAUCAACCUGUUUUGUUGGACUCCUAAAAGUGCUACUUACAGACAGCAUGCUCAACCUCCAAAGCCAUCUUCUGACAGCAGUGGAGGCAGAAGUUCGGCACCUUAUUUCUCUGCUGAGUGUCCAGAUCCUCCAAAGACAGAUCUGUCAAGAGAAUCCAUCCCAUUAAAUGACCUGAAGUCAGAAGUAUCACCACGGAUUUCAGCAGAGGACCUGAUUGACUUGUGUGAGCUCACAGUGACAGGCCACUUCAAAACACCCAGCAAGAAAACAAAGUCCAGUAAACCAAAGCUCCUGGUGGUUGACAUCCGGAAUAGUGAAGA